rnacentral:rRNA from 1 species
GACGAACGCUGGCGGCGUGCCUAAUACAUGCAAGUAGAACGCUGAAGGAGGAGCUUGCUUCUCUGGAUGAGUUGCGAACGGGUGAGUAACGCGUAGGUAACCUGCCUGGUAGCGGGGGAUAACUAUUGGAAACGAUAGCUAAUACCGCAUAAGAGUAGAUGUUGCAUGACAUUUACUUUAAAGGUGCAAUUGCAUCACUACCAGAUGGACCUGCGUUGUAUUAGCUAGUUGGUGAGGUAACGGCUCACCAAGGCAACGAUACAUAGCCGACCUGAGAGGGUGGUUGGCCACACUGGGAAUGAGACACGGCCCAGACUCCUACGGGAGGCAGCAGUAGGGAAUCUUCGGCAAUGGACGGAAGGCUGACCGAGCAACGCCGCGGGAGUGAAGAAGGGUGUCGGAUCGUAAAGCUCUGUUGUAAGAGAAGAACGAGUGUGAGAGUGGAAAGUUCACACUGUGACGGUAUCUUACCAGAAAGGGACGGCUAACUACGUG